rnacentral:rRNA from 1 species
CUGGCGGCGUGCUUAACACAUGCAAGUCGAACGAGAAUCUAUGGAAAGAGGAUUCGUCCAAUUGAAAUAGAGGACAGUGGCGGACGGGUGAGUAACGCGUGAGGAACCUGCCUUUCAGAGGGGGACAACAGUUGGAAACGACUGCUAAUACCGCAUAACGCGUAGAGGUCGCAUGGCCUUUACGCCAAAGAUUUAUCGCUGAAAGAUGGCCUCGCGUCUGAUUAGCUAGUUGGUGAGGUAACGGCCCACCAAGGCGACGAUCAGUAGCCGGACUGAGAGGUUGAACGGCCACAUUGGGACUGAGAUACGGCCCAGACUCCUACGGGAGGCAGCAGUGGGGAAUAUUGGGCAAUGGGCGCAAGCCUGACCCAGCAACGCCGCGUGAAGGAAGAAGGCUUUCGGGUUGUAAACUUCUUUUGUCAGGGACGAGCAGAAGACGGUACCUGACGAAUAAGCCACGGCUAACUACGUG